rnacentral:rRNA from 1 species
GACGAACGCUGGCGGCGUGCCUAAUACAUGCAAGUUGAGCGAUGAAGAUUGGUGCUUGCACCAAUUUGAAGAGCAGCGAACGGGUGAGUAACGCGUGGGGAAUCUGCCUUUGAGCGGGGGACAACAUUUGGAAACGAAUGCUAAUACCGCAUAACAACUUUAAACAUAAGUUUUAAGUUUGAAAGAUGCAAUUGCAUCACUCAAAGAUGAUCCCGCGUUGUAUUAGCUAGUUGGUGAGGUAAAGGCUCACCAAGGCGAUGAUACAUAGCCGACCUGAGAGGGUGAUCGGCCACAUUGGGACUGAGACACGGCCCAAAAUCCUACGGGAGGCAGCAGUAGGGAAUCUUCGGCAAUGGACGAAAGUCUGACCGAGGAACGCCGCGUGAGUGAAGAAGGUUUUCGGAUCGUAAAACUCUGUUGGUAGAGAAGAACGUUGGUGAGAGUGGAAAGCUCAUAAAGUGACGGUAACUACACAGAAAGGGACGGCUAACUACGUG